AUUCGAUGCGCGAAGUCGAAUCGCGCAAUAAAAUGACAUUGUUCGUUGAUUUGUUGUGACAAUUAGACGUUUGAAAUUUUUUCGAGACGUGUGUUCUAUUUAGUGCAUAAUAUUUUAAUAAUAUUUUUUGUGUAGUUAUUUUUUUAUCAUUUGUGCGUUUUUAUUUAAUCAAUAUAUUUUUAUUCAAUAUUUUAUUAUUAAAAUUGAUAAUUGUUUGACAGCUAAAUCAUUUUGAAUUUUUUAUUUAUUAUAUAAUUCGAGUGUUGAAUUUAAUAAGAUAGCUUAUGUGAAUUUUUACUUGAUUUGAUUGUUGUAACAUGUUAACGUAAUCUAAUUUCAUAUAUUUUAUUCAUUUAUUUAGAAGUUUUAAUUUUUUUUCUGCACAGGUUUAAUUGGUAUCGUCAUAAUAGCUCUUAAAAGGCGGGAAAAAUUCCAAUAUGGACGCCAUAUCUUUCUUGAUGACGUGGUAUUUUAUAUUUCGUAUUUUAUAUUUCGUAUGUAUAAAUUUUUAUUCUAUUUUAUUGAAUUAUUAGUGAUUGUUGUUAAAAGUAAAAGUAUUUUCAGAACAAAUGCUCGAUAGGAAGAAGAAGAAAAAUAUUAAAAUAAUAUUGUUUCUUCUUCUAUCUCUCUCCACCCCUCUACUAAUUUAAUGUUAAUUUCAGAAAAUAUUUGUGAUCGCGCGCAAUGCGGUUAAUAGAAUCAGUGUUUGUUUCGUCAUAGUAUUUUAAAUAUUUUUUAGAGCACAAUAGCUUGAAUUAAGUUUAAUUAUAAUAGUUAUACGCGAAAUUAGAAUCAGUGCUUGUUUGCCGAUUACAAAAUGUAUACUGCCGCGUUAAUA